ensembl:lncRNA PURPL p53 upregulated regulator of p53 levels
GUGGUGACCUGGGAAUCAAUGUGUGAGGUGGUGCUAUGUAGCAGGAACCCCUCUUGCUUUGCAAAUAGUUUUUUGUUUGUUUUCCUUUUUGCCCAAUAGAGCCCUGCUCUACUGACCCUUCAAUGUGCCCGUGUGCCUAAAUAUUCCUGGUCGUGUGAAAAGAACCCAGGUAUUAGCUGAACUAAGGAGCACAAUUCUGCAACAUUUUGGCACCCAAACACGGGGCUUGAGAAAUGAAUGCAAUUGGAGAAACUGGUUGUUUUACCAGGCGUUGAUUGGAAAUGUGUGCUUCCCUUUAAGCAGUCAAGCUCAACUUGCAGAACUGAUGGGAACCCCUUGGGAAAACUGGCCUCAAAUGUUUGUCUACACAGUCCACAUACAGGGUUCUUAACCUGCGAUGAGGGAAACUUCCCAGGGCUUGUCUGGGUAUGCCCACAGUGGACUGGAGCCCAAAAUGCACACUGGAGGAAGUGGAUGGAGCCACGUGGAUGUCAUGCCUUAUGCAGGGGAGGAGCCUGCUCUCUUCAGCUCCUGUGGUAAUGUGGGAAUCGAUCUGUGAGGAAACACUUUCUGAAAAUGUCAGAACUCUUGAAAACAUGGAUGAGGAAAAGCAUAAGUACUGCUUUAUGCUUUUCUUAUGAAUUUUAAAAGAUGUAAUUUAAAGAGGGGUUUUGCCAUGUUGGCCAAGCUGGUCUCAAACUCCUGACCUCAAGUGAUCCGCCCUGGCUUCCCAAGCCCAGCUGAUUCCUGUUUAAAUAAAAACUUACAAAGAUCUUCCCACAAGUACUUUAUCUUACAAUUUACUGAACAAUAGAGGCAGUGAAGAUGUUUUUCAGAAAGCAAUUGUGAUCCUGACAUUUUCUUCUUAUAAUCCUGUGCUUUCCUCAUUUUUUUAUAUUAAAAGUAAUAGUUCUUGUGAUGGCAACUAGGAUUUGUAACAACAUGUACCCUCAUUUCCUGCAUGACCUUUUUUAUGUCACUUCUUCACAUGCAAAGUAUACUCCCUCAGUGUCAUUACAUUAUUUGAUUUUUGCCCUUUCCCUCACCUUUCCAUGUGUUUAUUUGCCUAUGCCCAUCUCCUAGUCACAUUUUAUCUAGUUAACGCCAACUUGACUUUCAAUGCUGUUCAAGAUUUACCUCAAUCUCAAGUGUUUUCUCUUUAUAUUCCAUACACGCUUAGCUUGGCUGCCAAUCCUCUUGGCUGCCAAAGAAUCCCAAAUUAUCUCUUUCAAAAAUACAAGAAAUAAAGGAUGGAGGAUAGGAAGGAGGGUGGUCAGGAAAGAACAAAGAAAGGAGGGGAGAGGAAAAAAAGAGAGAAAGAAAGAGAAUUAAAGUUAAGGAGGAAGAAUUUCACACUGAAUUAAAAUUGAUAAUAUUCAGGAAUGAUUUUAUAGUAGGCAUACAUUGAUAAAUAUUAGUUAAAUUAAUGAAUUAUUCCAAAAGAUCAUGAUUUGUAAAAAUUACCCUGAAGCACUUUAGGAAUAUUACAUUGAAAUAGGUAUGCAAUUUCUAAAGAAACUGGACUGCAAAAAUAGCCAUUGUGUGUACCUGUGGACCAGAAUAUUAUAUUUUGCUUAAGUUUGAAGUGUUAAAGUGCCCAACGUGCUCUUAUUUUAACCUAGCAAAUUUUCAGCAGAACUUAAGCUCAUAUAGUAUUUGAUUUUUUCAUUUCUCACAACUGUUGGAAUUCUGUUUUAUUGAAAAUUAUACAAUAAAAUGUUAAAAAAUC